GUGCUUGCUUCAGCAGCACAAAUACUAAAAUUGGAAGGACACAGAGAAGAUUAGCGUGGUCCCUGCACAAGGAUGACACGCAAAUUUGUGAAGCUUUUCUAUGCAUG
rnacentral:snRNA from 1 species